rnacentral:rRNA from 1 species
AGUGAACGCUGGCGGUAGGCCUAACACAUGCAAGUCGAGCGGCAGCACAGUAAGAGCUUGCUCUUACGGGUGGCGAGUGGCGGACGGGUGAGGAAUACAUCGGAAUCUACUUUUUCGUGGGGGAUAACGUAGGGAAACUUACGCUAAUACCGCAUACGACCUACGGGUGAAAGCAGGGGAUCUUCGGACCUUGCGCGAUUGAAUGAGCCGAUGUCGGAUUAGCUAGUUGGCGGGGUAAAGGCCCACCAAGGCGACGAUCCGUAGCUGGUCUGAGAGGAUGAUCAGCCACACUGGAACUGAGACACGGUCCAGACUCCUACGGGAGGCAGCAGUGGGGAAUAUUGGUCAAUGGGCGCAAGCCUGAUCCAGCCAUACCGCGUGGGUGAAGAAGGCCUUCGGGUUGUAAAGCCCUUUUGUUGGGAAAGAAAAGCAGCAGGUUAAUACCCCGCUGUUCUGACGGUACCCAAAGAAUAAGCACCGGCUAACUUCGUG